AGGAUGAACGCUAGCGGCAGGCCUAAUACAUGCAAGUCGUACGGCAACACAGUUGCGAGCAAUCGCAACCGGUGGCGAGUGGCGCACGGGUGAGUAACGCGUAUGUAACCUACCCUUCUCCGGGACAUAACUCCGCGAAAGCGGUGCUAAUAUCCCAUACCAACUCAUCAAGACAUCUUCUUGAGUUGAAAGCAGCAAUGCGGUGAAGGAUGGGCAUGCGUCCCAUUAGCUGGUUGGUGAGGUAAUGGCCACCAAGGCUACGAUGGGUAGGGGUUCUGAGAGGAAAGCCCCCCACACUGGUACUGAGACACGGACCAGACUCCUACGGGAGGCAGCAGUAAGGAAUAUUGGGCAAUGGUCGAAAGACUGACCCAGCCAUGCCGCGUGCAGGAUGAAGGCCCUAUGGGUUGUAAACUGCUUUUAGCCGGGAAUAAACACCCGUUUUAUAACGGGCCCGAAGGUACCGGCUGAAUAAGCAUCGGCUAACUCCGUG
rnacentral:rRNA from 1 species